GGAGUUAGCCGGUGCUUCUUCUGUGAGUGAUGUCCUUCCUGCCGGCUAUUAACCCGCAGGCCUUCUUCCUCACUGAAAGUGCUUUACAACCCGAAGGCCUUCUUCACACACGCGGCAUGGCUGGAUCAGGGUUGCCCCCAUUGUCCAAUAUUCCCCACUGCUGCCUCCCGUAGGAGUCUGGGCCGUGUCUCAGUCCCAGUGUGGCUGAUCAUCCUCUCAGACCAGCUACGGAUCGUCGCCUUGGUGAGCCGUUACCUCACCAACCAGCUAAUCCGACAUAGGCUCAUCCGAUAGCGCGAGGCCCGAAGGUCCCCCGCUUUCCCCCGUAGGGCGUAUGCGGUAUUAGCCUGGGUUUCCCCAGGUUAUCCCCCACUACCGGGCAGAUUCCUAUGCAUUACUCACCCGUCCGCCGCUCGCCACCAGGGAGCAAGCUCCCCGUGCUGCCGCUCGACUUGCAUGUGUUAGGCCUGCCGCCAGCGUUCAUCUGAGCCAUGAUACAACUCUGA
rnacentral:rRNA from 1 species